GUAAUGGGCACUAUAAUAUAUAAUAAAAAGGAGUGUUUUUUCAUUUGAAUCAGUGUUAUCAGCAUUCAUCAUGCAGCAAAGCCCACCAGCAUCAGUCAAGUCAAGUCACCUUUAUUUAUAUAGCGCUUUAAACAAAGAAGAUUGCGUCAGAGCAACUGAACAACAUUAAUUAGGAAAACAGUGUGUCAAUAAUGCAACAUGACAGUUAAAGGCAGUUCAUCAUUGAAUUCAGUGAUGUCAUCAUGCAGCUCAGUUUAAAUAGUAUAUGUGCAAUAAUUUGCAAUCAAGUCAACGAUAUCGCUGUAAAUGAAGUGUCCCCAACUAAGCAAGCCAGAGGCGACAGCGGCAAGGAACCAAAACUCCAUCGGUGACAGAAUGGAGAAAAAACCUUGGGAAGAAAACGCUCGAUUCUGCCUUCAAACAAUCAGACAAAUCAAAAUCACUUCCACAUGUGUGCGUUCUAGGGACAUGGCAACGAGACGUUGACAUCGGGUGCAGGGUUGCCAGACUCGAGGCUGUGCCAGCGUUGUGCUGUUCUCAGGGUUCACCGCUUCGAGCCCGAGUGUGAGUUCCAGCCGCCUCUGAACAUACAACACCAAACGGACCUGAGAGCCACAUCAGACGAACAGACGAGGGUCAGCGCAGUCGAAGCGUUCCCAGCGUUCAGCCAUCGACUGACCGUCUGACUGACAGCUGUGAAAUUCUCAAACGUCCAUCAUCCUCCACCUGAGACACGGAAAGGAGGACAAAAAAACCGUUUACAUGCUUUACAGGUUAAAGACAAAUGGAACAUUCAUUUUUUUCUUCAUCUAUUCCAUUACAGUUUUUUUCAACUGCUUAGACACAAAAAUCUUUUUACUUGUCACACGAUUUCUGAAAGCUGAUACUCAAACAGCAGAAGCACUCACCAAAUCUGCAAAACCAUACACUAAUUCUUGGCCUCUGAUUUAGUUUUCAAUUUCAUAAAACACUUUUUGCACACAAUUCUCUAUGAAACGCACAAUAAUCUAACAGGAUGAUGGCAAAGGUGUUUGCAAAUGUUUGCUUUUGAGAUGUGU
ensembl:lncRNA